AUUGAACGCUGGCGGCAGGCCUAACACAUGCAAGUCGAACGAGUGGCGGACGGGUGAGCAAUGUCUGGGAAACUGCCUGAUGGAGGGGGCUAACUACUGUAAACGGUAGCUAAUACCGCAUACCAUCAGAUGUGCCCAGGUGGGAUUAGCUUGUUGGUGGGGUAACGGCUCACCAAGGGGACGAGCCCUAGCUGGUCUGAGAGGAUGACCAGCCACACGGGAACUGAGACACGGUCCAGACUCCUACGGGAGGCAGCAGUAGGGAAUAUUGCACAAUGGGCGCAAGCCUGAUGCAGCCAUGCCGCGUGUAUGAAGAAGGCCUUCGGGUUGUAAAGUACUUUCAGCGGGGAGGCGUUACCCGCAGAAGAAGCACCGGCUAACUCCGUGCCAGCAGCCGCGGUAAUUC
rnacentral:rRNA from 1 species